UGAAGAACCUAAUGUCAGGCUCGGUGGCAUUGUACCCUGUACAGUGACUCCCACUGCUAUUCUCCAUGAAGGCCAGCAGUCUGUGGCCUGUGAAGGACUCUCAGGGCUUCUCCAGCCCACUUUGAGAAGAGAAGCCAAGGGAUGUGUCCCCCUGCAAGGUAAGUAUAGGGCAACUGGAUUUCCGAAACCCCAAACCAGGAAAUCUGGUCUGACAAGCAUGGGAUUCACAUCUGAAGUCAGCCCUGCCCUGGAAACCUGUGGCUGGGGGCUGCUGUUGUCAGAGGGAGCCUGUAUUUCCGGGUUUGUUCUGCUUGGGGAGGAAGCAGGAGCCGAGCUGGCUUCUCUGAGCUUCCAUAUUUAACCCUUCAGUCCAAGACUUGCAGAGCUGGAAGGGUCUUUAGAGAUCAACUAUGAGGAACAGAGGCUCUCAGAAGAUAAAGACCCUCUCUCGAGUCACACAGCCAGUAAACGGCUGAGCUGGGACUAGGAGGAAGGGACCGACGUUUAUCUAGCACCUCCUCUGUCCAGGAGCCUCUCGGACGUUCUAGCACCCUGCAAAGCAGGUGUUAGUAGUUCCAUUUUGCAGUUGAGAUUCAGAGAGGUUUAGUGACAGGGCUGACACACAGCUAUUAAAAGGCAUGGGGGUCAGUGGAAUAUAUGUCUGCCUGACUCUCACAAUCUGUAAUUCUUGCUAGGCUCUUCUCUGCCUUGAUCACGUAGGUAUCCCAAUGCCGAGAGAAUGAAUGGGUGAGUCACACCAAGCUCUUUCCACUCUCCCACACCUUCAUCCAAGUUCACCCUGCUCUAAGUAAACAGACUGCCCAAAGUUAUCAGAGCUCCGGGACACUCCAUGGUUGCCAUGGUAACUGAACGUAUAGAACUAACAGCUGCAGGCAAUCCAGGACAAAACCAGGGAACCCUUUUCCUGCCAAACUAGCCCUCUGCUCUCCACCUUCCUGAAACCUUGUACUUGGCCCUUUGGAAAGCUGCUUCUUGGUCAACAACAUCACCUACCCUCUCACUCGUCUCUGGGCGCAGCCUAAGGUUUACGCUGGGGCCCGACAGAAACCGGAAGCCUUCAGAAAGGACAGGAACUCUGUCGUCAUCCUGCUAUCAAGGUGCCCGCCUGAUUGCACUCAUCGCCUCACGAAGGGAGGACAUGUCCUUUUUCCGUUUGCCAUGGUCUGAAUGUUUGUAUCCCACAGCACCCAUAUGUUAGAUCCUAAUGCCCAGUGUGGUGGGAUUAGGAGGUGCAGACUUCAGGAGGUGGUUAGGUCACGAGGGCAGAGCCCUCAAAAAUGGGAUUAAUGCCCUCAUCAAAGAGGCUCCAGAGGGGUCCCUAGCCCUUCCCCGGUGUGGGGCAGUCUGCAGGAAGAGGGCCUUCACAGACACUGAAUCUGCCAGUGGACUUCCAGCCUCUAGAACUUCGAGAAAUAAACGUUUGUUGUUUAGAAGCUACCCAGUCUACGGCAUUCUGUUAUAGCAGUCCCAAUGGACUGAGACACCUUCUAAGGCCAAUCAUCCCCACUCUGCUGGAUCCCAUACCCUAAAUUCCACCUUUGGCUCCUAGAUGCUGUCUCAGGAUUCUGUGAUCUCUCUCUCUGCUGAUUCCUUGGCAACAGCAAACAAAAAUCCUCACACAUCUACCUCCUUGCCUCCAUCUUGUGUCUUUUUCUAGCAACUAGCCUCUUCCCUUCCUAAGCCAAAGCACUUUGUGAAAGCGUUAUCUACACUGGCUGCCUCACUUUCCUCGUACACCACUUGCUCCCCAAAGCAACUUGGCUUCUGCUUCCAAAUUCCACUAAAACUUUUCUUUCAGGUCACCACUAAUCUCCUUAUCACUCAAUCGACCGACACUUCUGAAUCAUUAGUUUGUUGGCCUCUCUGCAGCAGCUAACCCCCUGUGGGCCUGCCCUGUGGCAGAUGAUAUGUUAGAGGGAUCUGUGGGAACUCACAGGAGAGACAUUUAAUCCAGCCUGGGGAGGGUCAAAGAGGCCUUCCUGGAGGAGGUGAUGCCAGGUUAGAGCCUGAAAGGGUAAGUAGAAGUUGGC